rnacentral:lncRNA from 1 species
AUAUUAACCCAGGUGUCUUGGUGCUGGAGAACAGAACUGGCCAGAGUCCAUCCUGUCUCCCACCGGCAUCCCAUUACGAAAUGAACACAGAAAAGGCAGGUCUGCAAUGCCAACAUCUAGUAUCUAUCCCAAAGACCAGGGAGAAAGGAAGGAAAGAUUCUGGUUCUGUCCUCUUCCCCAAGGCAAGGCUGGCUGCCCUACCAACAGAGGCAAAGAGAAGAGUGUGCAAGGCUGGCUGCCCUCCCAACAGAGGCAAAGAGGAGUGUGUGUUGAAAUAUCCAUUGAAUCCCUGAGACAACUGGAUCCUGGCCCAUUGAAUCAUAAACUCAGCAGAAUCUCACAUCAUAACCCCAAAUGACCUGUUACUCACCAUGUGGCCCAGCUGUCUUCAAACUCACCAGCCUCCUGCCUUAGCCUUCUAAAUGCUUGGAUUACAGGCAUGACCCACCAUAACUGGCUUUGUUUUAGUUUCAGAGAAGAUGAAACUGAUGUGCGUCAAAAAGUUAUGGAGGCUGGGAAGACCUAGAAUGUGGCAUCACUAUUUGGAAACCAUGCCGAUUACCGACCGAGCUCUCAAUGGAAAAAUGCAGUCGGCGUGAACCACGCACGAACACAGCAGAGAAAGAAGAAAACACACACCACGAGGAACCCUAAUAGGACAAUACAUUAUAAGUCACAGUGCUACGGAGAAACCCAGUAGCCACAUGGAAGCAGAGACCAUGCAUAUGCAUCUACUCCGCAGCUCUGUGAAUGUCAGCAGCUCCCACGGACUGGAGAUCCCGUGAGAUCCCGUGAGAUCUCACCCAUAGCCUCAUGGUACAUCCACUUGGUGUGCUGGGAGAGUCAGGAUGAGGACCUGAGAAGAACAGCAGCUUGAACCUGACUUCAUUUAACAGCCCACUGCCCUCUUGCCAAGAACCCAUCACAGACCUUCCCAGAAGAGAGGGAUGAGCCUCACCUAUGAAUAAGUCCUCAGAAACUCAAAUUUGAUUCUAAUGGAUUGUUUUCUCAGAAAGACUGAGCAUGUCCCCCCACAUCUCUGUCAUUUCCCACAGUAGUAACCUCUGCAGAUGCCACAUAGAAAACAAAACAAAACAAAAAAACAUGAGGUUGGUGGGCAGAUAGGCAGGGUAUAAACAAACAGCCUUGUAACCCAGAAGCUGUGUGAUAUACAGUAAACUUCACAACACUGAAAAGAUGUCCUAUCUGUUAAAAUGGGGUAAUAACAACUACCCGAAUGUUUAGGAAUAGAACUUCAAUAAAUGAUACAUUUUAUAGUACAGCAGACCAUCCUGUAAAGGUUUCAUCCUUCACUGUGGUGAUAAAUAUCCCAAACCACAUUGAAAAGCAUUGCAUCUACAUUUAUCUACACUGUAACUGUACUGUAAAUCAUGGGGGAGGGGAGAAUCAUAAAAACACCACCUGUCACCGUGUCAUUAAAGCAAGUUGGAAGUGAUACUUACAGAAACACAGCAAGAGCACCCCCAGUCACACAGUUCAAUCUCUUAGCAAGCGUUUUCUUUCUAGCCCAGUGGUUCUCAGUUUGGAAUUUUUGGCACUGCCUAGAGAUAGUUUUGUUGUUAAAACUGAGAAAAGAGCCGGGCGUGGUGGCACACGCCUUUAAUCCCAGCACUCAGGAGGCAGAGGCAGGUGGAUUUCUGAGUUUGAGGCCAGCCUGGUCUACAAAGUGAGUUCCAGGACAGCCAGAGCUAUACAGAGAAACCCUGCCUCGAAAAAACAAAACGAAACAAAAAAUUAAAACAAAAAAACAAAACAAAAACAAACAAACAAAAACCCAAAACUGAGAAAGUGGCAGAGUCAUGGUGGUACAAACCUUUAAUCUCAGUAGGAGGCAGAGGCAGGCCCAUUUCUGUACAGUUCAGUUCUACAGCCUGGUCUAUUAAGUGGAUUCCAGGGUAGACAGGGCCACACAGAGCAACCCAGUUUCCAAAAAACCAAACCAAACCAAACCAAACAAAACAAAACCAAGCCAACCAAACAAAUAAAAAAUUGAGAAAGUGCCUGAUAUCUUUCCUGUGAGGGACUGGCCCAGUGCUGAUCAUUCUGUGCUACAAAGCACAGAAAUAUUUCACCCUUCCCCACAUAAUGCCAUGCUUAAGGAAACCCAAUUUAGGCAAUUUUCAAUUAUUCAUCCAAAAAGUAUUUGUUGAGUAGCUAUCAUCUACGAGGUAAUUUUGUCUAGAUAAACCAAAAAGAAAAAUAUCCAUUAAGCUCAGGAUUCACA